AUGGAAUCACAGACCCAGGUCCUCAUGUUCCUGCUCCUCUGGGUAUCUGGUGCCUGUGCAGACACUGUGAUGACACAGUCUCCAUCCUCCCUGGCUGUAUCAGCAGGAGAGAAGGUCACCAUCAGCUGCAAGUCCAGUCAGAAUCUUUUUUACAGUGAAAACAAGAAGAACUACUUAGCCUGGUACCAGCAGAAACCAGCGCAGUCUCCUAAACUGCUGAUCUACUGGGCAUCCACUCGGGACACUGGGGUCCCUGAUCGCUUCACAGGCAGUGGGUCUGGGACAGAUUUCAUUCUCACCAUCAGCAGUGUCCAGGCUGAAGAUCUGGCAGAUUACUACUGUAUGCAGCAUUAUUACCAUCCUCCCACAGUGCCUCAGCCUCCAACAAAAACCUCCUCUGAGAGUCUCACCAGCUGCAUGCACCACACACAGCCCUGGACCUGCACACUUCCCCUUUCUGCCUGAGAGCCAGUGAGCCUGAAACAUUGAUGAAAAAGUUUGCAGAGCCCAGAAAAAAAUAAUGGCUUUAAUGUUUCUUAUGUCUUCUGGUAUGAAAAGCCUUUAUACAGAAUGCAAAGGAGAACUCAGGAUUAUCUUUCUAUUCCUUCUGUAACACAUUACUACAAACUCUGUUGUUUGACUAUGAGGGAUUUAUCUUUUUAUAGUUCUGGAGUUCUGGUGUCCAUCAUAAGAGUCUAUAGGCUGAAGUGAUGAUGAUGGCAAACUGUGUUUAUGUUUGGAGGCUCUGGAAAGAGUGUUUCCUAUUUUUUUCUAGUUUCUGGAGGGCUUUCUUACUUCCUUACUCAUAUCUGAUUCUUCUGUUUUUAUCUUUUACUUUUUAUUACAUUUUAGUUAAUUAAGUACUUUUUUCUCUGUUCAUGUGAGUAUACAUUUGAGUGUCUGUGUAUAUGUGUGCAUGUUUCUAGGUUCAAAUUUGACAUGGCAUAGUUGUGGAGGUCAGAGGACAGCUUGAACUUGAUUAUCUUGGUCAUUUGAAUUCUGAGGAUCAAACUCAUGUUUUACAUCAGACUUGGUGACCAGUGUCUUUGGCAUGUGAGCCAUCUUGCCGCCCAUUAAAUU